UACGAAGGGGGCUAGCGUUGCUCGGAAUUACUGGGCGUAAAGCGCACGUAGGCGGAUUGUUAAGUCGGGUGUGAAAUUUCGGAGCUUAACUCCGAAACUGCAUUCGAUACUGCGGUGCUUGAGGACUGGAGAGGAGACUGGAAUUCAUGGUGUAGCAGUGAAAUGCGCAGAGAUCAUGAGGAAGACCAGUGGCGAAGGCGGGUCUCUGGACAGUUCCUGACACUGAGGCACGAAGGCCAGGGGAGCAAACGGG
rnacentral:rRNA from 1 species